GAUUAGUAUGUGGGAGAAACUGCUAAAGGGAAGAGAGAUAACCCUCGCAAACAGUAGCUACUUUUGGAUAAGAAUGUUAGAUACAAGAGUGUUGGGCCUUUUGGGCCUUCACGCCAUCAAGAAACCCAUAUGCAGAUUAAGUAGUAGUUUGGGGUCCCAUUAUCACAUUGGGAGAGGGUCCCUCUCUCCAAUGAGAGGAUGGGCAGCCACACUGAAAGGAGACACGGUCACAGAGUGGUUGGGAGGCAGCACUGGGGAAUAUGGCAGAAAGCAGGCGAGCAUAUUGCACCCAUGCCCAAGAGUUGAAUACAGCAAUUGGGUGGUAAAGCAGAAUUAUUUAGGAAGAAAAAUGGCUUUCUGUUAGCACAUAACAAAUGCCUUUAUCGCCGAAAGAGCUCACGGUUAAAUAGUUCCCGCCAGCGCGGGUAAUAGGAGGGUCCCAGGGGUAAUCGGAAUUUAUUGGGGGAAAAGGCAGUCAAGGGGUUUAUGAAAUUAGGAGGGAAAUACCCAGGGCUCAACUGGGAAUUGCAUUUGAAACUGGCAAACUAGAGUCCUGGAGAGGGGGGUGGAAUUCCAGGUGUAGAGGUGAAAUUCGUAGAUAUUUGGAGGAAUACCGGUGGGGAAGCCAGCCCCCUGGACAAAUACUGACGCUCAGGUGCGAAAGCGUGGGGAGCAAACAGG
rnacentral:rRNA from 1 species